AGUGGCCCUUAUUGAAGCUGCAGCAGCUUCCACAUAGCUGCUAUGGUGAAAAAGGAGCCGAGUGACAGUUUUCCUUGAUGUUUGUCAUUCUGUUUGUUGUAACUCAUCUGCAACAUUUAGGAAAAACAGAGUU
ensembl:snoRNA